CGAUAUCAAUAAGCGGAGGAAAAGAAAAUAACAAUGAUUCCUUCAGUAACUGCGAGUGAAGAAGGAAGAGCUCAAAUUUUGAAUCCGUUAGGUUUUACCUGACCGAGUUGUAAUUUGAAGAGGCGUUUUCUGAGGUUCUGAUCAGUCCAAGUCCUUUGGGAUAAGGCAUCACGGAGGGUGAGAAUCCCGUUCGGUUGAUCAGAUCUUCUUUACGAUACGUCAUCAAAGAGUCAAGUUGUUUGGGAAUGCAGCUUAAAAUGGGAGGUAAAUUUCUCCUAAGGCUAAAUAACGGCGAGAGACCGAUAGCGAACAAGUACCGUGAGGGAAAGAUGAAAAGAACUUUGAAAAGAGAGUUAAAUAGUACGUGAAAUUGUUGAAAGGGAAACGAUUGAAGCCAGUCGUACCGGCGGGUAAUCAGCCUUUUGGGUGUGAUUAUGUGGAGCGUGAGGAGCUAAUCGCCUUCAUCUUUGCAUAUUCGUGCACUUUGGGUGUACUUGCUCGUGUGGUAGGUUAACAUCAAUUUUGAUUAUCAUAAAAUGAUUGAAGGAAUGUAGCUUCGAUCUCGUAUUGAAGUGUUAUAGCCUUUGGUAGAUGUGAUGAUCGGGAUUGAGGAUUGCAACGGAUACCCUUCGGGGCUACCUGUCUGAUCUCUGCAAGUUGCUCUGGUGCUGAAAGCUUGCUUAUGGUAUCAAAGUUGACGUUCAAUAGGUUAGAACGGGAUAAAUUCGUUAAGGAUGUUGACGUA
rnacentral:rRNA from 1 species